GGAAGAGUCUCGUCCCCGGUGGGGCGCCCGGGCUUCAAAUCCGGUGAGGGGGCGCAUGCGUUCCCUAGGGUUCGACUCCUACCUCUUCC
rfam:Betaproteobacteria bacterium RIFCSPLOWO2_12_FTLL_63_13 rifcsplowo2_12_scaffold_1823, whole genome shotgun sequence.